CCUACGGGCGGCUGCAGUGAGGAAUAUUGGUCAAUGGCCGAAAGGCUGAACCAGCCAAGUCGCGUGAGGGAAGACGGCCCUACGGGUUGUAAACCUCUUUUGUCGGGGAGCAAAACGGACCACGUGUGGUUCAUUGAGAGUACCCUAAGAAAAAGCAUCGGCUAACUCCGUGCCAGCAGCCGCGGUAAUACGGAGGAUGCGAGCGUUAUCCGGAUUGAUUGGGUUUAAAGGGUGCGCAGGCGGUACUUUAAGCCAGCGGUAAAAUGGCGGGGCUCAACCCUGCCGAGCCGUCGGAACUGGGGGCCUUGAGUGCGGAGGAGGCAUGCGGAAUGCGCGGUGUAGCGGUGAAAUGCUUAGAUAUCGCGCAGAACCCCGAUUGCGAAGGCAGCGUGCCGUGCCGCUACUGACGCUGAGGCACGAAAGCGUGGGGAUCGAACAGGAUUAGAUACCCUUGUAGUC
rnacentral:rRNA from 1 species